AAGCGUGGUCAUACUGAAACUGGCACCCGAAGAGUUCGCACACGACCUAACUAACAGAGAAUACGGUGGAAAAGCAGAUUACCCAUAUAACGUAUCGUCGAUAUAUAUAAUACGGUUCGGCUUAAUAAUUUAACAAGAAAAAUCAUCAUAAUAAUACAAAGUUAAUUAAUAAUAAAGUGUUUUAAUAGUGUGAUUAAAUAUUUAUAAUAUAAUUAUUGUUUUAUAUAUUAAAAUAAUAAUAUAUUUGUGUGUUAAAAUAAUAUAUAUAAUUAUAUUGAAAAAAAUAUAUAUUAUUUCAUCAUAAUUUUUUGAAGCUUCGAGAAAAGGUGCUUAUAAUAACUGUCGAGAUGGCGUUUAUGAUGCCCGUUGUGAAAAAUGAGUGGGAUAUUUAUAAAACAAAUCGGAGUAGACGUUCAUCUGAGUGUUCAAAUCCACAAUCAUGUAGAAGCCGAAAGGUUUCUGAAUGUUCCAAAUCUGAGGGACCAUCAUUAUCAACAUCACCUGGUUCUGAUUAUUUAACAUCACCAGCUCAUCGUUCAGUACCAAUGUCAUCACGUCAUUUUUCAAGAACAUCAUCAAGAACAUCACAAAAUUCAUUACAAAGCCCAAGUAAAAGUACUGGUUCAUCACCACCUAAAACUGGAAGUUCAAGUUCAUUGAAUAAAUUUCAUAAUCGUCUUGUUGAUAAAUUAAAAAGAUCAUUAAGAAAAGCUGAUGAUAGUUCUGAUGAUCAACGUAAUUUAUCGUGAGAUAAUAAUGGGGUUAAGAGCCGUCCACCAGUUUGUGGAGGUUCAAAACCAAUUGAUAUACGACGCACCUCGACACCAUCAACACCCUCAAUAAAUGCACAGGCACCUGGGUCAAGAUCGUGUCCAGAUAAAUUUGCGGCAUGGUUAAUACAACAUGAAAAAUAAUAAUUAUAAAAAAAUUUAUAUAACAACAACAACAACAACAGUAUAUUUGACAUCAUCAAAAGUAAAAUAAUGAUUUAAAAAGAAGAAGAACAACAAGAUGAAGAAUCAUUCAAGUUAUUGAUAAUUAAAAAAUUUCAUAUGAAGAAUUUGUAUGUAUUAUAUGCAACUGCAAUAAACCAGAUUGCAGAGGAUUAAUUAUGAUUUAUAAAUAUCAACAAUAAUAAUUCAUAUGACAACAUUAGUGAUAUAAUGAGGGCUUGAUUAAUUUCGAGCAGCAACUUCUUUCUUGGAAUUGAGCUGAAUGAGCGAUUAAGACAUUUAAAUUAUUUCAAAAUCACAAUCGGAAUUUAUUAAGCUCACAAUAACAAAAAUUAAAAAAAAAUUAUAAUAAUCUUCAUAUUUAAAUUAUAUAAAAAAAAUAUCAGUUAACUCAAUAAAAUCUUGUCGCCUACAUGUCUUGCAUUUCAAUAUAAAAAUAAUUUAAUUAUAUGAAUGAGUUGUGAGUAUAAUUGACUAUUGAAAUGUUUUUGGAAAUAUUAAUUUUAUAUAUCCAAAAACUGCCGCUUUACCGUAAGACUGCUUAAACGAUGAAAAUAAUUAUAUUAAAUAAAGUUUAAAGAAAAAUAAAACAUUGAUAAAAAAAACGAUGAUGAAUUAAAUUGAUUGGUGCUCGAUGAUAGAUAGUUAAAUAAACGUUUUUUACUUAUUACAAAAAUUAAUUAAACAUAAAGAAAGAAAAAGCUUUAUUUUCAUUGAAAGUUUUUUUUUUUUCAUUAGUUCUAAUAAUUUUUCGUAAUAAUUAAUAUUCGUUUAUUUAGUUUAUUUAACCUGAACUGACAGUGAAUUGGCGUUAUUAUAAAUAUAGAAAUUAAAAGAUAUUGGCGAGAUAAUAAUUUAUUUAUUUUAGCGAUCUUGAGCCUUGAUAAUAAACUAAUAAUUUUUCAUCAUAUAAAUAUGUAUUUAUUAUAUCAAAUUACAUAAUUAAUAAAAUAUAUAUCAAUUUUUCAAAAUAUAAUCAGCUCUAUGCUAAUUUAAAAAUUAAUUCAACAAAAUUUAUUAUUACUAUAAUAAAAAAAAAAAAUGGAGUAAUAUUUUUUAUUUCACGGCACAGGAUCGCCAAGUUAUGAAAUUCAAUUUAUUAAAAAGAUCCGAAUAUAUUUUGUAUUAUUACUAUAUUAAUAAUAAAAAUAAAAAAUUAAAAAAAAAAUCAUUAGUAUAUAGAUUUAAGUAUUUAGCAGAAGAGAAAAAAAAAAUAAAAGUAAUAAGCAUGUUAUUUUUUGGGAUUUCCAAGUUGAAUUUUAAAGCGGUGGUUGAUUAGAUACGUAAAAUGAUCAAAUUAAUAAUUAAUAUUAUUAUUAAUUUUAUCUAUUUACACGUUGUCUUUUUAAUCAUGGCCAUUAGUAUCACUGCCGAAAGCCCAGGGAUUAAAUAAAAAUAUAAAAACACAAUAAUCGAACCGCUAAAAAGACUUGUUUUUUUUUUUCUUUUUUAAAUAUUAGUUUUGUUUUUGUUGAAAUAUUGCAAUAUGCCAAUUUUUUUUAAAUUAUCAUCUCGUUUUUAUUUAUAUGUAUAUCAUUUAGAAAUUCUUCACUUAGAAAAAAAAAAUGCCUGUAUUUGAUAAAGAAAUAUUUGUCA
rnacentral:misc_RNA from 1 species